GGUACGUCGGUCGGUGACGGGGGCAGGGAAGAUAGGAGCAGCGGCAGUUUAUCUCUGUGACGCACACAACAAUUGUUUAACAAACCCAGUUUAAAGCCAAAUUAUCGUCUAAUAUUAUACAUUUUCAAGCUUUACUUUGGAAUAUCGUAAACUGCGUUUAUUUUGCAAGUUAUUCCAAGGCACAGCGUAAACAAAUCGAACUGUCGAACGUUAAAGCUAACGUUGCUAAAAACAGCGGAGAGGAUAACAGUGUUUUUUCGCCAACAUGAGAGGAGGUUCCUCCUAUGGAGACAGAGACCGAGACCGUGGGCGAGAUAGGCCACGGUUUGGGGCCAUGAGCGGUCGUGGCGGACCCCCACCAAUGAAGUUUGGAAAUCCAGGUGAGCGUCUCCGCAAGAAGAGGUGGAACCUGGACGAGCUGCCAAAAUUUGAGAAGAACUUCUACACUGAACACCCUGAUGUCCAACGCAUGACUCAAUAUGAGAUGGAAGAGUUUCGCCGAAAAAAGGAGAUCACCGUCAGAGGCUCUGGUUGUCCAAAGGCUGUCACUGCUUUUCACCAUGCACAGUUUCCUCAGUAUGUGAUGGAUGUGUUGAUGCAGCAGAAUUUCAAGGAGCCAACAGCGAUCCAGGCUCAGGGAUUCCCUGUGGCCCUGAGUGGCAAGGACAUGGUGGGAAUUGCACAGACUGGCUCUGGAAAGACGCUGGCUUAUCUUCUUCCUGCUAUUGUACACAUCAAUCACCAGCCCUAUCUGGAGAGAGGAGAUGGCCCGAUAUGUCUGGUUCUCGCUCCAACCAGAGAGCUGGCCCAGCAGGUUCAGCAGGUUGCAUAUGACUAUGGAAAGUCUUCCCGUAUCAAAAGCACCUGUGUGUAUGGUGGAGCUCCCAAAGGACCACAGAUUCGAGAUCUUGAGAGGGGUGUUGAGAUCUGCAUCGCCACACCUGGCCGCCUCAUCGACUUCUUGGAGGCAGGGAAGACCAACCUGCGCCGCUGCACCUACCUUGUGCUGGAUGAGGCUGACCGCAUGUUGGACAUGGGUUUUGAACCGCAAAUUCGUAAGAUAGUUGAACAGAUCAGGCCUGACAGACAGACUCUGAUGUGGAGUGCAACUUGGCCAAAGGAGGUUCGGCAACUUGCCGAGGACUUCCUGAGGGACUAUGUCCAGAUUAAUGUUGGCGCUCUGGAGCUCAGUGCUAACCACAACAUCCUGCAGAUAGUCGAUGUCUGCGUGGAGACAGAAAAGGACAACAAACUUAUUCAGCUGAUGGAGGAGAUAAUGGCUGAAAAGGAGAAUAAAACAAUCAUCUUUGUGGAGACUAAGAAACGUUGUGAUGAUCUUACAAGGAGGAUGAGGCGUGAUGGAUGGCCAGCCAUGUGUAUCCAUGGAGACAAGAGCCAGCCAGAAAGAGACUGGGUGCUCACAGAAUUUCGCAGUGGCAAAGCCCCCAUUCUGAUUGCUACUGAUGUUGCUUCUCGUGGUCUGGAUGUGGAAGAUGUCAAGUUCGUCAUCAACUAUGACUAUCCUAGCUCCUCCGAGGAUUAUGUCCAUCGUAUUGGACGUACGGCCCGCAGUACCAACAAAGGCACUGCCUACACCUUCUUCACACCAGGAAACCUGCGACAGGCCCGAGACCUUGUCCGUGUUUUGGAGGAGGCCCGGCAAGCCAUAAAUCCUAAACUGCUUCAGCUCGUGGACUCUGGUCGUGGAGGAGGAGGUGGUGGCAGAAUGCGUUACCGUGGCAGCAACUCCAGCAACCCUAACCUGAUGUAUCAGGAGGAGUGCGAUCGGCGCAUGCGUUCAGGCGGCGGCAGCAAAGAUGGCCGCAGCAGCUUCAACCGUGACAGUCGCAACAGCCGUGACGGAGACCGUUCCUCUUCCUCCUACAGGGACAGAAGUAGGGAUCACAGAAACAGCUACAACUCGGGCUCAGAUCACUACCAGAGCUACAGCAGCAGUGGUGGCGGCUAUAACUCCCGGGGUGGAGGCCACUCUGGAGGUGGCGGUGGAGGUCCUGGUCAGUCCAGCCAGCCGCAGGGUCAGUUUGGCCAGGCUCCUCCUCCUCCUCCUCCACCGUCAGGGGGGCCGCAGCCUCUGAUGGCUCAGCAGUUUGCUCCACCACAGCCUCCACUCAUGGGCUUCAUGGGGCAACCGCCAUACCCUUUCGUGUCUCCUCCUCCUACUCCUCCAGGUGUGCCGCCACCCCGAAAGUAGAAUAAACAGGCACUGAUUUAAUUUGUGCUACUUACUGUGUUUUACAAUGUAACUUUGUUUUUAUUCUUAUCUCCAAAAGAGCCAGGGAUUUGAAAAGGCAUAUAUCUAAGGAGUGGGAACACAAAUGGAAAAGUCUUUCCUUCCCUCAGAAAAACAUCUGUACAGGUAUUUAUAUACUGACAUUCACACUGUUUCAGAUGUCAACACUUUUUAUUUCUGUCAGUCUGAAAAAUUGGGAUUUUGCCUAGUUGAUUGACAUUUUGGGUCUAAAGUUUGAUGUUUUUAGGCCCUAUAGAUAGCUGUUUUUUGGUUGUUGCUAGGCCUAGAUAAUGUGGGAAGUCCAGUGGGAUUCACUUCUUCUAUAACUGGACAAGGGUUACAAGCACAGCAUUGCAUGCACAGUGACAGCUGUAAACGUCAGUGUAGCAGUUAUUUAAUUUAAAGACAGAAUUUGGAUUGGUAUGACGGAGUGGAACUUGCAAUGCAAUGUAGCUCGACCCAAACAUGACAUGGGGAUCAUUUUUGGGUGAUUUCGUGGUUGUAGAAAGGACGCUGGGUAAGAUGGAAUACCUUAAGCUAGAUCCUCCCAUCUUUUCUACCUGUCCUCCAGAUGAAGCCAGGCAGCACUGAUAUAAAAUUCACUGCUGCACAUCCUAAUGAGGAACACACUAUGAAGGAGAUGUAGUUAUUGUGUUGACAAUAAGGCAAAUUUGCUUUUCUCUGGAUUUGCACAGUAUGAAUAUUAUAGGGAAAUCUGUUACAGAACUCUCUGAAUGUAUAUUUACAGUACAUAACAUUCAAAUCUGUAUUAUUUACAACAAAAUUUGAAGUAGAGUCAUUAAUUUUUCUUCAUUAUUGCUUUCUUCCUGCUACUCCUAGAGGUUGGUAAAUAAACCAGAACAGCUUAUUUAUAGCGCAUUUAGCUUUGCUUAAAGAUAUGGUAAAUGGCAAUGAUGGUCCGUUAUGGGUUGGUAAACCGCAUGAAAGUUAACGCAUGCUUUCAAGUAAGCCGAAUCAAUAUUGCUCAGUGGGUCCUAAAUUGAUCCCUCAUGACGAAAAAAUGGAAUCUCACCGGCUUCCCAGCUCUAUCCCCGCUGCACUUCCACACAUCUGGAGUUGCACAUGUAUUUCAGAAUCAGUCUGCCUCCAGUCUCAUUUUAUUUUAGUCUUUAUGCUUGUAGACCCAUGAUCCAAUCAACUUAUGGAUAUUAGAAUGAUUCAGUAACACCAUUUGAGUCUUUUCUGGUAAGGACAUGAACACAUGAAAACAAGGAUCAAGUCAUUAGUAUACAUAUAUGUACAGAGCAAAAGAAAAGCAAAACGUUUCAUCUCAGGCACAUGUGGUAGAAUCAAACCAGAUGUCAGUGACGUCAACUCAGGACUUCACAUGUCCCUCUUUGGGUCAAUCAACAGUAGAAAGGCAGAAAAUGACAAAAAGACAAAUGUACAGAAAAAGGAAAUGAUUUCAUGUGCAAAAUUUUAACAAAAUAAGUGCAUGUAAUUGUAGGUUGUGUAAGAAAAAAAAUCUCCAAAUUAAUAUCCUGAGUGAAACAUAAUGUAAAAAAAAAAAAAGUGUCCCGAUCUUUUGAUAACAGAAAAGUACAGAAAUAAAAAGUAAAGGGGCAAAGAUUAGAUGCCCUUCAUUGUUCGGCCUUGUGUCAUGUCACAGCAGGAAAAGCACAGCGUUAAAUGGAGUGAAUGAAUGGCUACUUUCACCCUCACAAUGUACAACAAAGUCAUUGUCAAUGUUUUUUGGAACGCCUGUGCUUUUCCUGUCAUGCCGUGUCAACAUAUCUGCUGUGAAAAAGGCCUUUUAUUACAGCCUAGACACACACGCCACCUAACCGUAAUUUAUUCAAACAUAUUAAAAUCCAGAUGACUCUUAAAAAUUAUAUACCGAUUCAAUAUUUGUGCUCUCUGGAUAAUUUGGUUACUCAAGGAGAAACCCACUACAAUGAUUUCAGAUGUGGGAAUUACUCAGUUUCAUUAUUUCCAGCUGUGUUUUACAAACAUCACCAGCGUUGGUUUAAAGGGGAAGUGGUUUGCUAGUAAGUAGAGAAUGAUACCACUGCAUCUCUUCCUGCAAAUGAUUAAGUUGUGCUGCAGCAAUGAGCAAAUUCAUCAGUUCAUCUGCCAAUUUAAAUUCUGUGAAGUUAAAUAGACUAAUAUACUGUCAUGAACUGCAUUUUUAAAAUAUCACUUGAGAAGGAGAAGCAGAGAAGCUCUACUGACCGACAGAAAAUGGUUUGUUGCAACAAAACAAACUGUGACAACUCUAAUGUGCAGGUGAACGUUGCAGCAUUUUGAAUCCAAUGGUAGAAAUAGCUUUCUUAAAAAACAACAAAAAAGACCAGCUGUUGUAUGUGAUUCACAUGACAUGGGAUUUGUUUAGCAGUACGAAUAAAUUCCCACUUUCAGUUUUUUAAAGGCUCAA